AUUGAACGCUGGCGGCAUGCCUUACACAUGCAAGUCGAACGGUAACGGGCCUUCGGGUGCCGACGAGUGGCGAACGGGUGAGUAAUGCAUCGGAACGUACCCAUCAGUGGGGGAUAACUCUCCGAAAGGAGGGCUAAUACCGCAUAUUCUGUGCGCAGGAAAGCGGGGGACCGCAAGGCCUCGCGCUGGUGGAGCGGCCGAUGUCAGAUUAGCUAGUUGGUGGGGUAAAGGCCUACCAAGGCGACGAUCUGUAGCGGGUCUGAGAGGAUGAUCCGCCACACUGGGACUGAGACACGGCCCAGACUCCUACGGGAGGCAGCAGUGGGGAAUUUUGGACAAUGGGGGCAACCCUGAUCCAGCCAUGCCGCGUGAGUGAAGAAGGCCUUCGGGUUGUAAAGCUCUUUCGGCCGGGAAGAAAUCGCAUCUCCUAAUACGGGGUGUGGAUGACGGUACCGGAAUAAGAAGCACCGGCUAACUACGUGCCAGCAGCCGCGGUAACAC
rnacentral:rRNA from 1 species